rnacentral:rRNA from 1 species
GAACGUACGCUGGCGGCACGCCUAACACAUGCAAGUCGAACGAAGUAGCAAUACUUAGUGGCAGACGGGUGAGUAACAUGUAGGUAUCUGCCCUUUGGCCUGGAAUAACACGAGGAAACUUGUGCUAAUACCGGAUAAGUCUUUACGGAGAAAGCUUUAUGCACCAUUGGAUGAGCCUGCACUUGAUUAGUUUGUUGGUGGGGUAAUGGCCUACCAAGACUGUGAUCAAUAGCUGAUUUGAGAGGAUGAUCAGCCACAUUGGGACUGAGACACGGCCCAAACUCCUACGGGAGGCAGCAGUGGGGAAUCUUGCACAAUGGAGGAAACUCUGAUGCAGCGAUGCCGCGUGAGUGAAGAAGGCCCUUGGGUUGUAAAGCUCUUUCGUCGGGGAAGAAAAUGACUGUACCCGAAUAAGAAGGUCCGGCUAACUUCGUGCCAGCAGCCGCGGUAAUACGAAGGGACCUAGCGUAGUUCGGAAUUACUGGGCUUAAAGAGUUCGUAGGUGGUUGAAAAAGUUGGUGGUGAAAUCCCAGAGCUUAACUCUGGAACUGCCAUCAAAACUUUUCAGCUAGAGUAUGAUAGAGGAAAGCAGAAUUUCUAGUGUAGAGGGUGAAAUUCGUAGAUAUUAGAAAGAAUACCAAUUGCGAAGGCAGCUUUCUGGAUCAUUACUGACACUGAGGAACGAAAGCAUGGGUAGCGAAGAGGAUUAGAUACCCUCGUAGUCCAUGCCGUAAACGAUGUGUGUUAGACGUUGGAAAUUUAUUUUCAGUGUCGCAGGGAAACCGAUAAACACACCGCCUGGGGAGUACGACCGCAAGGUUAAAACUCAAAUGAAUUGACGGGGACCCGCACAAGUAGUGGAGCAUGUGGUUUAAUUCGAAGAUACGCGCAGAACCUUACCAACACUUGACAUGUUCGUCGCGACUCUAAGAGAUUAGAGUUUUCGGUUCGGCCGGACGAAACACAGGUGCUGCAUGGCUGUCGUCAGCUCGUGUCGUGAGAUGUUGGGUUAAGUCCCGCAACGAGCGCAACCCUCACUUUUAGUUGCCAUCAUUAAGUUGGGCACUCUGAAAGAACUGCCAGUGAUAAGUUGGAGGAAGGUGGGGAUGACGUCAAGUCCUCAUGGCCCUUACGUGUUGGGCUACACACGUGCUACAAUGGUAUCUACAACAGGAAGCAAGACUGCGAAGUUAAGCAAAUCCCUAAAAGAUACCUCAGUUCGGAUUGCACUCUGCAACUCGAGUGCAUGAAGCUGGAAUUACUAGUAAUCGUGGAUCAGCGUGCCACGGUGAAUGCGUUCCCGGGUCUUGUACACACCGCC